GGCUUCGUAGCUCAAACGGAUUAGAGCGCACGUCUCAUAAACGUGUGGUUGCGCGUUCGAUUCGCGCCGAAGCCA
rnacentral:tRNA from 1 species